GCCAGCUUGGCUCAGUCGGUAGAGCAUCUCACUCGUAACGAGAAGGCCGUGGGUUCGAUUCCCACAGCUGGCU
rnacentral:tRNA from 1 species